rnacentral:rRNA from 1 species
CUCCCUGACUCCUUGAGAGUCCUGAAGGAACGUUGAAGACGACGACGUUGAUAGGCCGGGUGUGUAAGCGCAGCGAUGCGUUGAGCUAACCGGUACUAAUGAACCGUGAGGCUUAACCUUACAACGCCGAAGGUGUUU